rnacentral:rRNA from 1 species
UACGAAGGGGGCUAGCGUUGCUCGGAAUCACUGGGCGUAAAGGGUGCGUAGGCGGGUCUUUAAGUCAGGGGUGAAAUCCUGGAGCUCAACUCCAGAACUGCCUUUGAUACUGAGGAUCUUGAGUACGGGAGAGGUGAGUGGAACUGCGAGUGUAGAGGUGAAAUUCGUAGAUAUUCGCAAGAACACCAGUGGCGAAGGCGGCUCACUGGCCCGUAACUGACGCUGAGGCACGAAAGCGUGGGGAGCGAUCCGG